rnacentral:rRNA from 1 species
GAUGAACGCUGGCGGCGUGCCUAACACAUGCAAGUCGAGCGAUUCUCUUCGGAGAAGAGCGGCGGACGGGUGAGUAACGCGUGGGUAACCUGCCCUGUACACACGGAUAACAUACCGAAAGGUAUGCUAAUACGAGAUAAUAUGCUUUUAUCGCAUGGUAGAAGUAUCAAAGCUCCGGCGGUACAGGAUGGACCCGCGUCUGAUUAGCUAGUUGGUAAGGUAACGGCUUACCAAGGCGACGAUCAGUAGCCGACCUGGGAGGGUGAUCGGCCACAUUGGAACUGAGACACGGUCCAAACUCCUACGGGAGGCAGCAGUGGGGAAUAUUGCACAAUGGGCGAAAGCCUGAUGCAGCAACGCCGCGCGAGCGAUGAAGGCCUUCGGGUCGUAAAGCUCUGUCCUCAAGGAAGAUAAUGACGGUACUUGAGGAGGAAGCCCCGGCUAACUACGUGCCAGCCGCCGCCGUAA